UACGAAGGGGGCUAGCGUUGCUCGGAAUCACUGGGCGUAAAGCGCACGUAGGCGGCUUGCUAAGUCAGGGGUGAAAUCCUGGAGCUCAACUCCAGAACUGCCUUCGAUACUGAGAGUCUCGAGUCCGGGAGAGGUGAGUGGAACUGCGAGUGUAGAGGUGAAAUUCGUAGAUAUUCGCAAGAACACCAGUGGCGAAGGCGGCUCACUGGCCCGGUACUGACGCUGAGGUGCGAAAGCGUGGGGAGCAAACAGG
rnacentral:rRNA from 1 species